CACAUCAAUAAGUCAGUCUGCAAAGCAUAAAAACACAUUUUAAGGGGACAUUUACAAAUUUGCUACGACUGAUUAAUGCGAUACAAGACCAACAUUGUACACGCUGUACAGUAUAUGUACCAGUUUAUGUUACUUAAUCUUAUUUACUGUCCUAUCCAUCGAUUGUAAACAGUAGUGUUUGCGCCCAUGUCCAUCUGUGUCUAAACAUGCAUUGUUUCUUCACAGUACGUCUCAUACAGGUUUAACCUCAUGUUUCAGCUUUGUAUUUAUCGGUAAAGUCUAUCAAAAUAAUGUGGAACUGAAAUGUACGCUUUUGUGGCAUAUGGCUUAAUGACUUGUGCUAACCCCUGGCUACAGUAGCCCCUGUUGUAUUUUAUUAACACGAUAAAAUUUUAUAGUCUGUUACGCCAUCUUAUCAUAUUCCACAGUAGAGAUGAUAUUCUACAGAAACUUCCAUACAAACACAUCAACACAUUUCUAUACCUUGUAGUUUUCAAUAUAUACUAUAUGUGCUGUACCUAUACUCUACUGAUGUAUGUCUCUAUGGGAUAAACAAAGGCACAUGUCUUCACCUGUACCAGUAGCACGGAUGACCUCUAGCUCCUCUUUUUUAGUUGCUGUGGUAAUGGCCUGGGGUAACAUCAGUGGGAUAGCCAGGAUGUCCCUGAUUGGUGGAUUGAAUGUGAAGACACCAGAGUUGUGUACCAGUGGCACUCCUUGUUCAUCAGGCAGCCGCACUGACAGCAUCAUGCCCUUUUCUUCUGUGCUGUGAACCAGGAAGGCCUGAAAAUAUCAACAUGAUUGGUUACACAUUGAGGCCAGAAUGGAUAUCAGAGUCAACACCACUUGAGCUCACAUCGAAAACAAGCUCAAUAACGGGGAGUGUGAGUCAGUCUUCGUCUCUGUCAGUCAAAUACAACAUCUUGGCGAAGACUGGCCCAGUUUUAACAAGACUACAGUGAAUGCCUGAAGACGGUAAUCAACAAACACAGCCAGAAUGAGAGGAGACGAUUUGACUGGAUUCAGUCCUACAUCCACUGUGCUCGGUCUUUCUGUCGCUAUGUGUCUGACUGACAAACGCUCCAGUGGAUAAAGACUUAAUUGGCUCUGAACACACAGUUAGAACAAUAAACAGCCAGAAUAAAUACAAAUGCAGUCGAGCCGGCCCGAGAGUGGGAGAGAAGAAAAGCUAACACCAGUAACCCUGUGGACAUAAAAAACUGGACAUAUCUUGUCUUAUCUUUUUGUUUUCUCCAGAAUGUGGCUGGAAUAUUUGUCACUUUAGGAUUUCAUUGCCAAACAUUUCUAGGACACGUUUUUAAGUCAUGGAGCUUUUGACAAGAUGAUAUUUUUGCAAGACUGAAGUACUUUGAUCACAAUGUUGCCCUGACUGCUCAUUAAAACACAAACAUUAUGGUUCGGGAUUUUUUCCAGAACUGAAAAAGUUGUUUGACAUUUCUCCUUAUUUAUAUUAUUUUUUUUAUUUAUUUUAUUUUCUAACUUGCCAUGGCUGUCUCAAAGCUAGCUGCCAUGUGUUGCUCUGAAUACAAAAUUUUUCAGAUAUAGUGAUAUUAACGACUUCACAAUUCACACUUCAAACUUCACACGUGCCUCCCACCAAUCCCUCCCACCCUCAGCCGUCCGACCAAUCAUGGGCAAGCCGCUUAGCCGUCCUGGAUGUUUCAGGAAGAGCUCCUGCUGCCUGGAGAA